AUUGAACGCUGGCGGCAGGCUUAACACAUGCAAGUCGAGCGAGCGGCGGACGGGUGAGUAAUGUCUGGGAAACUGCCUGCUGGAUGGGGAUAACUACUGGAAACGGUAGCUAAUACCGCAUACCAUCAGAUGUUCCCAGAUGGGAUGAGCUAGUAGGUGGGGUAAUGGCUCACCUAGGCGACGAUCCCUAGCUGGUCUGAGAGGAUGACCAGUCACACGGGACUGGGUACACGGUCCAGCCUCCUACGGGAGGCGUCAGUGGGGAAUAUUGCACAAUGGGCGCAAGCCUGAUGCAGCCAUGCCGCUUGUGUGAAAAAGGCCUUCGGGUUGUAAAGCACUUUCAGCGAGGAGGCGUUACUCGAAGAAGAAGCACCGGCUAACUCCGUGCCAGCAGCCGCGGUAAUUC
rnacentral:rRNA from 1 species